CGAGGGUAGGUUACAAAGUUGGUUUGGGGGUGAGGUGAGCCUCCCCACCACCGCGUCGGAAUAGGAACUUUGGUGGGAUUUUGGCACGUGGAGAGCUCUGUGGGGCGGGGCCAGCCAUGAGACGGACCGGACGCGGGAGCACAGCAGCUCGCCGAUUUGGUGAGAUAGAAAUGAGAGGCUGUUGUAAAAACGGACUGGAAAAAAACUGAGAGAUGCCCAUAGGAAUGCCGUCAAAAGAAGAGACAAAAAGUGGUCAAGUUGCAGCAAACUCAAAAAAGUGGAAGUACGAGAAAGAAAUGGAAUUUUUACUUUCCGUAUUGCCAGCUCACAGCCUACACGACAGUAAUACUCCUGAUAUGGAUGACACGCAAGUUCCUGAAAAUCAAAUAAACGAUGAUAGCAUUGUUAAUGCUGAAGCUCCUGCUGCUCCUGAUGAUGAUGAAUUUUCCAUCUCUGAUCACGAUGUCAACACAGUCCAGAACAAACCCAAAGGAGUCGACAAAAUUCUGAAUUUUCUUAAAAAUAAAGAGAUAAACAAACCUGUUCGCUCUGUCCCUGACGAAUUAGAUUUGUUUUUUGGUAGCAUAUUAAUGUCGGUAAAAAAAUUGCCUUGAAGGUUACAAAACAGAGUGAAAAGAGAAGUUUUAGAGGCAGUAAACCGAGCUGAAGAUGAACAUGAUUCACUGAUGAGUCUAAUAACACCGGCAGUGCGUCAAACUAGCUCUCCACUGGUGUCUCGAAGUACCUCCUCUGACAGCUCAACAUGGUUAGGUGGUAACUAUUCAAACCAGCCCACGAUCCUUCACCAUCAAAAUGAAACAUCACUUACAGAAAGUGGCUCAUUACUUCGAUCACUGCAAGAAGAUACAGAUGUUGAUUUGUUAGCGGAAAACUAUUCAGGACAAGCAACUGAGGACAAUCUUCAAAUACUUUAAGCACAAACUUCAUUAACUUUAAACUCAAACAAAAUAUAUCUUAUGCUGAUUUCUUUUUGUGGCUGUGGCUGGUUAAUAUAUGUCUAUCAUCUUUUACAUUUUCUCUUAUCACGGCAGCUAACAAAUAUACUUGUGUAAUAUUACUGUAA